rnacentral:rRNA from 1 species
UGGGGAAUCUUGGGCAAUGGGCGAAAGCCUGACCCAGCAACGCCGCGUGAAGGAUGAAGUAUUUCGGUAUGUAAACUUCGAAAGAAUAGGAAGAAUAAAUGACGGUACUAUUUAUAAGGUCCGGCUAACUACGUGCCAGCAGCCGCGGUAAUACGUAGGGACCAAGCGUUGUUCGGAUUUACUGGGCGUAAAGGGCGCGUAGGCGGCAAUUCAAGUCAUCUGUGAAAUCUCCGGGCUUAACUCGGAACGGUCAGAUGAUACUGCUUUGCUAGAGUGCAGAAGGGGCAAUCGGAAUUCUUGGUGUAGCGGUGAAAUGCGUAGAUAUCGGGAGGAACAUCAGUGGCGAAGGCGGCCCUCUGGUCCAGUACUGACACUCAAGUGCGAAAGCGUGGGGAGCAAACAGGAUUAGAUACCCAGUAGUCCCUGAGCGGGCUGGCAAGGCGCAU